AUUGAACACUAGCGGCAGGCCUAACACAUGCAAGUCGAACGAGUGGCGGACGGGUGAGUACUGUCUGGGAAACUGCCCGAUGGAGUGGGGUAACUACUGGAAACUGUAGCUCAUCCCGCAUACCCUCGGAUGUGCCCAGAUGGGAUUAGCUAGGAGGUGGGGUAACGGCUCACAUAGUGGACGAUCCCUCGCUGGUCUGAGAGGAGGAGCAGCAACACUGAAAGUGAGAAACGGGCCAGAAUCCGACGUGAGGCAGCAGGGGGGAAUAUUGCACAAUGGGCGAAAGCCUGAUGCAGCCAUGCCGCGUGUAUGAAGAAGGCCUUCGGGUUGUAAAGUACUUUCAGCGAGGAGGCGUUACUCGCAGAAGAGGCACCGGCUAACUCCGUGCCAGCAGCCGCGGUAAUAC
rnacentral:rRNA from 1 species